GGGCACCACUCGCACACGCUGAUUCCGCGUGCGCCGUCCACGCUCACCUGACGACUGCUCGCUACGUUUGCUUGGCC
rnacentral:sRNA from 1 species